CCACUAGGGACCAUAAGACUAACUGCUGCGC
rnacentral:piRNA from 1 species